AGGGUCUUGGUCAAUGGGAGGAAGU
rnacentral:rRNA from 1 species